rnacentral:rRNA from 1 species
UACGUAGGGGGCUAGCGUUGUCCGGAAUCAUUGGGCGUAAAGAGCGUGUAGGCGGUUCGGUAAGUCCGCUGUGAAAGUCCAGGGCUCAACCCUGGAAUGCCGGUGGAUACUGUCGGGCUAGAGUCCGGAAGAGGCGAGUGGAAUUCCUGGUGUAGCGGUGAAAUGCGCAGAUAUCAGGAGGAACACCAAUGGCGAAGGCAGCUCGCUGGGACGGUACUGACGCUGAGGCGCGAAAGCCAGGGGAGCAAACGGG